GGGGGAGGUGCGCGAGCUGCAGAAAAGGAUGCCGGGCUACGGAGCUGGCUUGGCCUGAGGGGAUUCUAAGGAUUCACUCGACAACUCCUGAAAAAGGACUAAAUCCAGCUCUCUCAGAAAACAGUGCCAACUUCCAUCUGGAAUGGCGUCACAGCACGCUCUUGGUAAUGCUGACAAAAUUUCUACAUGACAUUUGAUUCCUGGGCCUUAUGAAAAUCUUUCUGUUUGCGACUGGAUUCAGGAUUCCUUAAGCAUCAAUACUGACCCUUCACAGCAAAUUUUGACACUCUGACAUUUUUCUCAUCUAGAGCAGGAACCUGUGCAGGAAGACCAAUUUUUCAGCGAAAACGUAAUAGGGAUGAAUUCUGGAGAGCCCUCAGCCAAAAACGGUCAGAUAGGGCUAGAGAACAGCUGCCUCCACGUCAAGUCCAAAGCCUUCACAAUCUCUCAAGUGUGCCUGGAGAUUUGUUCCCCUAGUGAUUUUGGAUCCUGGCAAAUGGACAAUCAACAGUAACCAUCACAGACAGUAAAGACUAAUGAGGAUUGUCUCAAGGAACUAUGUUUGAUUAAAAAUAUUUCUCAUCUCUUACAUGUAAUCAUGUCGGAUAAUGGUGCUCAAUUCUGCAGAGUUUGAAUGGAAUUUUACAUGAAAAUUCACUCAUUUUCAUUCCAUGUACAUCUAAGAAAUCAAGGGAAAGGAUAAUUUUUGGAAAUUAUGCCUAGCAUAUGUUUUAACCUAAUCUCUACCCAAGAUCUGAACUAAUAACCCAAUAAUCAUUAACGUCCAAGAACAAGUAGAAAUAAAAAUCACCGCAAUAUAUCUACUGAGAGCCACCCCAUAUAAAACCACUUUAACUGAAGGUUUUACCUUUAUUUUCUCAGAGUAAACUAGAAUAACGGAGAGAGUUUUUACAUUUUUGUAUCAUUAUAUGUAUAAUAACUAAAUGAAAAGGGAGAAAAUCAAAUACUAUUUGUUUUCAAGACUUAUUAUAAUACUACAUUAAUUAUGACAACAUCCUUGCCAGAAAGAUAGCCAAAUAUCUAAAUGAAAUAGACAAAGAACCUAAAACAGAUCCAUGUGUAACACGGGUAAUUAAUUUUUGACAAGGUUAAGGUGACUCAGUGGAAAGAUACUUUUGUAAGUAAAUGCUGCUUGAAAUAUCCUUGGAUGAAAAAAUACACACCUAAUUUGUAUUAUUCGCCACAGGUUUAAUUUAAACUUGAUCACAGAUAGAGUAUAAAAAUCUAGAAGUAAAGGACUUUUAGUAAAUAAUAUAAAGGAAAAGAGAUGUUGGACAAAUAUUAAAGGCAUAUUCCUUAAAAAUUAAAAUAUAUGGAAAUUUUACUUGUAAAAUGACACGGACAAGAGAAUACAAUGACACUCUACGGGAAGAUAAAAUUUUUGGAGAUCUUAAUUCUUAUAUAGGGCUAAUAUACAAAUAUAUAAAGAACUGUCAAACUGAUUAAAACUCAGGAAGAGAAAGUGUCUGAAUAUGUAAGUUAUCAAAGAGAUAUAUUAAUUUAAUAAUAAAAAGCAUAAAAAGGAUAUAUAAUAUUAAUAAUAAAAAGCAUAAAAACGAUGAUUAACAAUAUCAGUCCUUCAGCAAAUACAAAUUAGAACUACAAUAAGAUAAUACUACAUUGUAGACUGGCUAAAAUAAUAGAUUGUACAAAGUGUUGUCAAGAAUGUCGAACAACUUGAAUUCUCACCUAUCACUGAUUAAAGUUUAAGUUCCAAGUCAUUGCAAAGUUUUAUACAACUUCUUCAAAAGUUAACAAUAUACCUACUAUGUGGUCCAGUCGUUACACGUCUAGGUAUUUAAAGAAAAAAAAUCAAAGUUUUAGUAUAAACAAAGAUUUAAAGACAAAUGUGCUUAGCAGGUUUAUUUGCAAUAACCUUAAACUAUAAAUAACCCAAAUGCCUCAUGAACUCAUGAGUGGAUUAACAAAUACUGGUACAUUGAAAUUUCAGAAUAAAAUGAGCUAUUAAUACAUACAGCAACAUGGAUAAACCUAUGAAUUGUUAAGCUGAGUAAAAGAAGCCAAACAAUUAUAACAGUAAACGUUGUAUGCUUUCAUUUACAUGUAAUUCUAGAAAGCAAAUAUAUAGUUAUGAAAUUUAGCUGAUCAGUGGCGCCUAGACAGGGACAGGAAAGAGGAAGCUAUGAAUACAGGAGCUAUGAGUUGUUGCUGGCAUCAACUCGCAUCACGGGAGAUUUGCAGUGGACAGCAUUACAACAGAGACUCAGAACUGUCCAUGGUAUCGUGAAUAGUUGUCGGUGAAGUGCUCAGCCUUAAAAGGGCAUCUAUACAACCCCUCCAAGGCUCCGAGAACAUCAUCGAAGGGAGUGUGGGAAGAGUCAGGGAAGAGUCAAAAGAUGAGGAGGGUGUGUGGAAGGCUAUCUCUUGGGCAAGACCUGGUCAUUGCACUCUUUAGCUCUCAGGAGCUAGGAUUACCCAUCAUGGAGGGAAGGGAGAGACAUUUUCUUCAGUGGUGUAGUCACUAGCAAGCUGUUCAUAUUCCUGUAAAUAACCUCUCAUUCACAUAACCAUACACAUUAAAAACUAGUUAAACUCACUGGGACACCAAAAAGAAGGGAAAGUAGUUGGGGAGAAAAGAUGGAAUCUGCAGGAUUUGAAGGGACAGUGAAGAAAUAAGGAUGAAUAUGAUCAAAAUAUAUUAUAUAUAUAUACAUGAAAAUACAAUGAACCCAUUAUUAUGUAUAACUAAUAUGUUCUAAUAAUAUAUGCUAAUAGAGACGUUAAAAAUGAACAGUGGAAAUGAGGAACCUUUGAAAGCACUGGAGGGACUAGAGAUAUAGGUCAGAGGUCAACAGCACUGGGUGCUCUUCUCAAGGACUGGGGUUCAGUUCCCACACCCAUAUCACACCUCACAACCAUCUCCCACUUAAGUCCUGGGGAGUCAGAAGCCCACUUCUGACUUUGGCAUGUACUCAUGGUACAUAGAUAUAGAUAUACAUAUAUGCGGGUAAAGCAUCCAUAUACAUAAAAAUAAAAAAUUAGAAAUAAAAUUUAAAGAGAAAUAAGCAAUGGAUGUGGUUAUUAUAUAGCUUGUCAUGAUGGUUUCAGACAAUGGAGAUAUAAAAGUUACACGCUUUUACAUUUUUAUAGAGGUAAAAAAGACAUCAUAAGAUUCAUAAUCUUAACACUUUUUAAGUGUAUAAUAAAUUAUUGGUGAUUAUGAUACACUUUGU